CACCCGGCCUGGCCGGCCUCUCUGACCGUUGACCCGGAAGUGCUUAUGGCAGCCCCUGGGUUCUCUGGAGCACACGAUGGUAUUCCUUACAACGCGGCUCUGGCUGCGGAACCGCCUCACCGACCGCAUUUGUCGGGUUCAGGAGGUGUUGAAACAUGCUCAGCAUUUUAGGGGAAGGAAGAAUCGCUGCUACCGGCUGGCAGUCAGGGCGGUGACCAGAGCUUUCGUUAAGUGUUCGCAGGCCCGCAGACUGAAGAAGAGGAACCUGAGGACCCUCUGGACUAAUCGAAUUACAGCUGCCUCCCAGGAACAUGGCUUACAGUAUCCAUCAUUCAUUGUCAACUUAAUUAAGUGCCAGGUGGAGCUCAACAGGAAAGUACUUGUGGACCUGGCCAUCUAUGAACCAAAGACUUUUAAAUCUUUGGCAGCUUUGGCUAAGAGGAGGCAGCAGGAAGGAUUUGCUGCAGCUUUGGGGGAUGGAAAGGAGCCUGAAGGCAUCUUUUCCAGAGUGGUGCAGUACCAUUGAAGGCUGCAGAGCUAUGGAAAUUCUUAUAAACAAGAUAGUUGCAAAAGGAUUGUCUAUCACCAUGGAUAAUGUAUUCAGGUCAGGCCAUCUUGGGAUCCUGGCUCACUCAAAGACUGCCAUCCCUCCGAAAACACCUAUUUCCAUGCCUCUAUCAAGUUCUGUAGCUUGCUUUGUUGUUGUUUUGUUUUUGUUUUUCAACACAGAUAUGCAUAUAAG